UAGUGCUUAAGAUGUUGAGGAACAACCUGUUACCAUCCCGAACACAGAAGUUAAACUCAACGAUGCCGAAGAUACUUUACUAGUGAUGGUACUGGAAAAUAGGAAGGUGCUAAUUU
rnacentral:rRNA from 1 species